AUUGAACGCUGGCGGCAGGCCUAACACAUGCAAGUCGAGCGGAUGAAGAGAGCUUGCUCUCUGAUUCAGCGGCGGACGGGUGAGUAAUGCCUAGGAAUCUGCCUGGUAGUGGGGGACAACGUUUCGAAAGGAACGCUAAUACCGCAUACGUCCUACGGGAGAAAGCAGGGGACCUUCGGGCCUUGCGCUAUCAGAUGAGCCUAGGUCGGAUUAGCUAGUUGGUGGGGUAAUGGCCCACCAAGGCGACGAUCCGUAACUGGUCUGAGAGGAUGAUCAGUCACACUGGAAAGGAGACACGGUCCAGACUCCUACAGGAGGCAGCAGUGGGGAAUAAUGGACAAUGGGCGAAAGCCUGAUCCAGCCAUGCCGCGUGUGUGAAGAAGGUCUUCGGAUUGUAAAGCACUUUAAGUUGGGAGGAAGGGCAUUAACCUAAUACGUUAGUGUUUUGACGUUACCAACAGAAUAAGCACCGGCUAACUUCGUGCCAGCAGCCGCGGUAAAAC
rnacentral:rRNA from 1 species